GCGGUUAUCGUCCAGAGGUAGGGCCUCUGCCUUCCAAGCAGAUGACUUCGGUUCGAUUCCGAAUAGCCGCUCCA
rnacentral:tRNA from 1 species